rnacentral:lncRNA from 1 species
CACCAUUAGGAAGAUGUAGUAGUUGCCAAUUGCUGCCAUAACAAAUUACUCACAAACUAAGUGGCUUAAAACAAUGCCAAUUUGUCUUACAAUUCUGAAGGUCAGAAGUACAAAAUGGUUAACUUUGGUCACUGGGUUAAAAUCAAGCAGUCGGGAAUUCUGCAUUCCUUUGUGGGAGAUGUAGUGCGGAAUCCACUUUAUUACUUUUUCUAGCUUCAAGAGACCACUAGCAUUCCUUACCUCUUGACUGACUCCCUCUUCCGUCUUCAAAGCCAACAAUGAAGCAUCUUCACAUCUCUGACUCUGAUUCUCUUGAUUUCUCAUUUCACUUAUAAGGAUCCUUGUGAUUAUUUACGUAGAUAAUCCAAGGAAAUCUUUUCAUCCCAGUAUUUUUAACUUAAUCUCAUCUGCAAAGUCCCUUUUGCCACAUGCUGUGAUUUGAAUGUGUCCCCCAAAGUUCAUAUGCUAAAACUUAAUCACCAAUGUGAUGGUAUUUCAGAGGUGACUCAGUCAUGGGGGCAGAGUCCUCAUGAAUGGUAGGGGCCUUAUAAAAGGGUUAGAUAGAGGGGGUUCAUCCCUUUUUUGCCCUUCUGUUCCAUCUGCCACAUGAGGACAUAGCAUCUGUUCACUUCAGAGGAUGCUGUAACAGGGCGCCAUCUUGCAAGCAUAGAAUGACCCUCACUGGUCACCAAUUUGGCUGGCACCUUGAUCUUGGACUUUACAGCAUCAAAAACUGUGAGAAAUAAAUUUUUAAAUAACACAGUCACAAGUAUUUUGUUAUAGCAGCACAAAUGAACUAAGACACUAUGUAAGAUAGCAUAUUCACAGGUUCCGGAGUUUAGAAUGUGGACAUCUUUGGUAGACCUUUAUUCUACUUACCACAGAAGGAUUCAUCCGCACAAUAACACAAAGGCAAGCCCCUUCCAUGGUUUUUCUAUGACUCUUAAAUUUAGUCAUGAACAUUCAGUGCAUACAUUUUCUCAGACAAAAAUCUCAACUCUUCUUAAUUUUUUGUUUAAUUAAUAUGAGUUGGUUAAUAUAAAGCUUUAAAAAUAUAGAAGAAAGUAAAAUAUAGGCCAGGCAUGAGGGCUUAUGCCUGUAAUCCCAGUACUUUGGGAGGCCAAGGUGGGAGGACCACUUGAGGCCAGAGGUUUGAGACCAGCCCAGACAACAUAGGAGACAAGAAACUUAAAGAUUAAGCGAAGCGCAGUGGCUCACGACAGUAAUACCAGCACCGUGGAAGACCAGGGUGGGUGGAUCACUUGAGGUCAGGAGUUUGAGACCAGCCUGGCAAACAUGGUGAAACCCUGUCUCUACCAAAAAAUACAAAAAUUAGCCGGGGGUGGUGGUGGACACCUAUAAUCUCAGCUACUUGGAAGGCUGAGGCAGAAGAAUUGCUUGAACCCAGGAGGUGGAGGUUGCAGUGAGUCAAGAUUGUGCCACAGUACUCCAGUCUGGGUGACAGAGCAAGACUCUGUCUCAAAAAAAAAAAAAAAAAGAAAAAUUUUGCUGAGUGUAGUGGCAUACACCUGUGGUCUCAGCCUCUUGGGAGACUGAGGCAGGAGAAUCACCUGAGCCCAGGAGUUUGAGUUUAUCUUGAGCUAUGAUCAUACCACUGCAGUCUGGUGACAGAGCAAGAUCCUGUAUCAAAAUAAUAAUAAUAAUAAUAAUGAAAAUAAAAUACAUAAAACAAAAGUGAGAUCUUAAUUUCACAAAAAAUAACCCCUAGAUUGAAAUAGAAAUAACUUCAACUCAGAGUAAAAAUUAGCAAUAACUUUUAGUUGGGCUCAGACGAGAAAGUUGAAUUUAUAUAUGGCUUACUUUUUGUUUCUUGUAAUUGAAAAUAUCUCUUAAAGAGAAUAAUAUAAAUUUCCAUUUAAAAACAUUGAUUGAAAUAAAAUAUAUAAGCUCUAAACAAAUAUUUCUACCAUUUUGUUUUCUCCUAUUUCUAAUUAACCAGAGAAUCUGAAACAUAAAUCAAUAAAAAAUGCUUUGCAGGAUCAGUCAGAAAAAUAAUAUAAAAUUUAAAAAUAUUGGAAGUUCUUUUGUUAUAAUAAUAUUAGAGGGUUUCAAAUUCAACCGCUACUUGUUUGUUUUUUUCUAGCAGCUAUUCUAGCAGUCAUCUGCCCUUUUAUACAGUCAUAAAAAUCACUUAUUGAUUGCUCAAAGCGUUAUCUUAGGUGUGGGCAUAUGAAAAUGAAUAAAGCAUGACUUCUAAUCUUGAGAAGUUUACAGCCCAGCAUGAUGCAUACUUACAGAACUAAAAUAUUUCUACACUAAUGGAUAUAUGAAGAAAAUAUCAUAGAAAUACAAUUAAGUGAGCAUCUAAUUCUUAAGUAAUCACGCCUUAAGAAAAAUGCUGUGACUAACAAGAUUAAAGAACAAUGAGUACAGUGGCAUCUAGAUGUGUUAUAUGGGAAGUAAUGAACUGAAAGAAAAAUAUUGGGGGAAAUGAAUUGUCAGUACAGAUUCUACUGAAACUGCUGUUAUUGAUACCAAUAUUUUGAAGACUAAUUUUAUUUCUUUUAUAAAGAUGAGAUUAUUUAUUUGAGUAACUGGUAUCUUGUUCUCCAAAUGUUUUUUACUAACACUAAUAUGGAUGACAAGAAGGAUUUAUUAUGCUGAAUUUAACUUACACGUUAAUUUGAACAAAUAUGAACUACCUAUCCAAAAAGAAAUCUCUUAGUGUAGGUGGUUAAAUGCUUUCCUUUUGCAAAUUUACCAUGGAAUUUCUAGAUUAAAUGUACAUGUAAGGCAUCUUUACCCAAAAGCAGUUAGAAGUCACCUUUAUUGAAGCAAAUCUAGUAUGAAAAAGUUUACUUGUGUAGAGGUAAGGAAUCAUAGUAUUGAAAAGGUAUUAUCUGUCCUCUCUAUGGAAAACAUGUCAAGUCUACUGAACAAGCCUGUUAGCCGUCAUAUUUUUAUUUUAUUUUAUUUUAUUUUUACCAUAAGAGCUAUUAACUAAACAAGAGAAAACACAGAACAAACUUGCUUAUAAAACUCAACUGAGGAGGGCAAAAACAGAUUAUAGGGAGGUAGACGGAUGGUGUUAAUUUAAGAAAAUUUCAUGUUUAUUUCAGCAUACAAAAACCAGUAACAAAGUAAACAUAGAAAUGGUAAAACUUCCUGUUUUAAAAAGCUGACCUCAACUGAAUCCACAAAUUCUUGGAGAAAUGUUUUUGUUAUUUUCACAACAUUUUAAAUUUUCUCUAUUAUUACAGAAGAAUGUCCUGCAUAUUUUAACAUUUGGAAAGUGGGGAAAGGACAAAAAAAAUAGAAACCACAUUAGUCUCAUUAGGUAGUGAUACCUACUUUAAACACUUCAUAUAUUUGCUUCAUUUGUAAGGCAGGUAUAUAUUGCACAUAAGCAAAAUUAAUAACUUUCUGUAAAAUUUGUUUUAUAGCCUGUUUUUGUUUGUUUCUCUCUCUCUCUCUUUUUUAAGAUAGUCUUGCUCUGUUGCCUAGGCUGCAGUUCAGUGACAUGAUCAUAGCUUGCUGCAGCCUUAAACUCCUGGGCUUGAGCAAUCCUACUACCUAAGCCUCCCAAGUAGCUGGGACUACCGGUGUGUGCCACCACACCUGGGUUAUUUUAAAAUUUGUUUUUAGAGAUGGAGUCUCGCUAUGUUGCCCAAGCUGGUCUGCAACUCCUGGCCUCAAGUGAUCCUUCUGGCUGAGCCUCCCAAAGUAGUAGGAAUACAGGCAUGAGCCACUACUUCUGGUAUAACUUGCUUUUAUAUUUAAAAAUAUGUUAUUAUAUUUCCCAUGCCACUAAAUAGAUUUUGAAAAUGUAACUUUAAUAACUGCAUUUUAUAUCUUUUAAUAAAUAUUCCAUAAUUUAUUUGCCUAGUUUCUUAUUGUUGAACACUAGGAUUAUUUCUGGUAUUUUUUUUUUUUUUUGCUAUUAAAAAUGUUGCAGUAAAUACGGUUGUAGUAAUUAUACAGCAUUUAUUUCUUCAGUAUAAAAUUUCUAUUCAUAGAAGUGAAAUUGCUGGGUCAAAAAACCUAGAGUCUUUUAAAAAGCUCUAAAAAGAUGUCAAUUAGUUUACUGUUGCCUUUUUCAAAACAAAUGUAAUACAUGUUCCUUGUGUAUUCUUUUAAUUUACAUGAAUUGAAUGAUUCUGCAUACAUUUUUCUGUAUCUUGUUUUUACCUAAUAAUAUAUUUUGGAGAUCUUUCCAUAUCUACAUGUAAAUAUUAACUACAUUCUUUUUAUAUUUUGUACUUACUGCAUUAUACAAAUACACUUACUAUGUUUUAAGCCUUGAUUGUUCAGUCCUAUCAUGUGUACCAGGGAGAGGAUGAGAGCUAGUGUAAAAGCUGGACUCAGAGAAGAGCUGACCUUCCAUAGAGAAACC